rfam:Picea glauca, whole genome shotgun sequence.
UAAAAGGUUUUUUUUAAAACCACUGGAGAAAAUGUGAAAUAACACAG